rnacentral:rRNA from 1 species
CCAAUAGCGUGUAUUAAAGUUGUUGCAGUUAAAAAGCUCGUAGUUGAAUUUUGGAUUCUGCCAGUUGGUCCAUCUUUUGAUGAGUACUGAUUGUGUGGGGUCUAUCCGCCUGGUGAUACGUAAUGUACUUUAUUGUAUGUUACGGGUAGUCAGGACCUUUACCUUGAAAAAAUUAGAGUGUUUAAAGCAGGCUUAUGCCGGAAUACAUUAGCAUGGAAUAAUAGAAUAGGACGAUGUUGUUUUAUUUUGUUGGUUUCUAGGACAACCGUAAUGAUUAAUAGGGAUAGUUGGGGGCAUUAGUAUUCAAUUGUCAGAGGUGAAAUUCUUGGAUUUAUUGAAGACUAACUACUGCGAAAGCAUUUGCCAAGGAUGUUUUCAUCAAUCAAGAACGAAAGUUAGGGGAUCGAAGACGAUCAGAUACCGUCGUAGUCUUAACCAUAAACUAUGCCGACUAGGGAUCGGGCGAUGUUGUUUCCAUGACUCGCUCGGCACCUUAUG